AGCGAGGCCCAUCCUUCGGGGUGGUGCCCUAGCGGCGAACGGGUGAGUAACACGUGGGCAACCUGCCCUCAGCUCUGGGAUAACUCCAAGAAAUUGGUGCUAAUACCGGAUGUGACCGCUGACCGCAUGGUCUGGUGGUGGAAAGAUUCAUCGGCUGAGGAUGGGCCCGCGGCCUAUCAGCUUGUUGGUGGGGUAAUGGCCCACCAAGGCGACGACGGGUAGCCGGCCUGAGAGGGUGACCGGCCACACUGGGACUGAGACACGGCCCAGACUCCUACGGGAGGCAGCAGUGGGGAAUAUUGCGCAAUGGGCGAAAGCCUGACGCAGCGACGCCGCGUGAGGGAUGACGGCCUUCGGGUUGUAAACCUCUUUCAGUAGGGACGAAGCGAAAGUGACGGUACCUACAGAAGAAGCACCGGCCAACUACGUGCCAGCAGCCGCGGUAAUACGUAGGGUGCAAGCGUUGUCCGGAAUUAUUGGGCGUAAAGAGCUCGUAGGCGGUCUGUCACGUCGGCUGUGAAAACCCGAGGCUCAACCUCGGGCCUGCAGUCGAUACGGGCAAACUAGAGUACUGCAGGGGAGACUGGAAUUCCUGGUGUAGCGGUGAAAUGCGCAGAUAUCAGGAGGAACACCGGUGGCGAAGGCGGGUCUCUGGGCAGUAACUGACGCUGAGGAGCGAAAGCGUGGGGAGCGAACAGGAUUAGAUACCCUGGUAGUCCACGCCGUAAACGUUGGGCGCUAGGUGUGGGGGCCAUUCCACGGUCUCCGUGCCGCAGCUAAC
rnacentral:rRNA from 1 species